rnacentral:lncRNA from 1 species
UUAGAUUGGGUCGUGAUAUGAUCUAUCGAACCUGUUUAAGGUCUUUUUAACCUAUUAGAAACAUGCUUAACAUAUUUGUUCUGUUUAACCCAAUUUGCUUUACAUGCUUAAUCCAUUUAAAUUCGUUUCAUUCAUUAAAAAUUCACUUAACCUAAACAGAUCUAUUGAAUCCGUUUAAUAUUAAGUGAAUCUUUUUAACUUGACCUGUUUAGUAAAUUGAUUAUAUGGAUUAGGUCAAGUUAUCUAUUUAAUAUUAAACAGAUCAGAUUUUGAUCUAAAUUUUUAACCUGCCUAAUAAAUAGAUUUGGCUUAGAUUGAUGAAUUUUUUACUCGAUCUUCGUCCAAACUUGAUUUGUACCUAGCUCGCAUCCACCCCAACGCGACCCCUUGCCACCCAUAGCUGCCAUUCCUAUUAAUUAAAAUUUGCGGGGCGAAAGUUGUGGUUUUUUCAAAGUUGAGUUUUUUUUUGUGGUGCUUUUCGUUUUCUUACAUUCUUUUUUCCGAGAGAAAUUGGACAGAGAACCAUCUAAUAACAGUGCAGUUUUUGGUAAUAUCCACUAGGAGUAUUAAUUGUGGAAACGUGGAGAGCAGACCUAAAAACCGGUAAACGGAUGGCAAAGCGAAAACUUGUAACCUAACCCUCGCUAUAUGAUUCUUCUUGGUCAAAAAACCAUUGUGGCACUGCACACUAUUAUGGCAUUCAUAUAACUAUAUUUAAUUAUUUAGUGUUACCACCGAUUGCUUUCCUUGGUUGUCUACAGGAUUAUACAGCGUGCAUUACCCGGGCUCAUCUAAUCCUUGACUGUAAAAGCCUAAACGGACGCUUCUGUUUUC